rnacentral:rRNA from 1 species
UAAGGAAUAUUGGUCAAUGGACGCAAGUCUGAACCAGCCAUGCCGCGUGAAGGAUGAAGGUCCUCUGGAUUGUAAACUUCUUUUGAAUGGGACGAAACCCUGAUAUUCUUAUCAGAUUGACGGUACCAUUAUAAUAAGCACCGGCUAACUCCGUGCCAGCAGCCGCGGUAAUACGGAGGGUGCAAGCGUUAUCCGGAUUCACUGGGUUUAAAGGGUGCGUAGGAGGGUCUGUAAGUCAGCGGUGAAAUCUCCGAGCUUAACUCGGAAACUGCCAUUGAUACUAUAGAUCUUGAAUACCGUGGAGGUGAGCGGAAUAUGUCAUGUAGCGGUGAAAUGCUUAGAUAUGACAUAGAACACCAAUUGCGAAGGCAGCUCACUACACGCAUAUUGACUCUGAGGCACGAAAGUGUGGGGAUCAAACAG